rnacentral:lncRNA from 1 species
AACUUCUUUAACUAUGCUGCUUUAGAAGUCUCUACUAGCAUCAAAAUUCUUACUUCUUAUAUACGUAUGGUGCUUCAAUUCUUGCUUCGGUCCUUUCCUUUCCUACUAUUAACAAAAAUCUUGAGAUAGAUGAUUUUUAACUAAUGAAUGGUUUCUUACAUUUUUGUUAGGGAAUUUGAAGUUUUGAUGGUGGACAUAUGGAUGAAACCUGUUGUGGAAGAUGGUUCAUACAAGUGAAGAAAGAGAAGUUACUGGUCCUCAUAUGUAUUGCAUAUUGAAGUUGAUGCAAGGCUCACAAGGCAUACGUUAAGAUAGAAGUGGAUAAGCAAGGAAACUCAGACAUGCUGCCAAUGUUUAUCACAUACAUCAAAAAGAUUGAGGAGAAGAUAAAUGCAACACUUAGUGAUUGAGUUGAUUAAGGAGUCCUGCCAGACUAGGAGAUAAAGUGGAAGAGUUCUAUCCAGCCAAGGAGAGAGAGACGACAAUAAGGCGUGAAACUACUUGAGAGUCUUGUUGAAGAAAGAAGAGCACAUCAUCAAAAUGACUCUAUCGGGAUUUCACUUAAAUACAAG